UUCUCCUGGGCAGCUGCCUUUCUUCAUCUCCUCUGGUUUACUAGCAUUUGCAAGACAGGGAUGCUUCAAGAAGAAAGAUUCUUGCAGUAUACAGUCUGAAUUUCAAGCCGAGUCACCACAUUGGUAUGCACUACAUGCUGUUAUCAGUGCUCACAUGACCGACAAUAGCAUCACAACACUGAAAGAUCCUGACAUCGGAAGGGGUAAUCAACUGAUUCCCAAUCCUCACACAGGUAUAGUAUUUACACUUGUCAUCAGGAAAGGCGAAGGUUUCAUUUUCCUGUAAAUCAGAAUUACAGUAAUGUACGGAUCACAGGUGCUGUACCCGUCAUGAGCACACAACGAACCUGGACACACUGCCCACAGCAACUGUUAGGUGAUGCCUGAUAUUGCUGAUCCUGUUGGCAUAAAAAUAACAUUACUUAGAAUACUACCAUGAAGUCCUAUUGGCUACUUAUCAGAAGUGACAAGGACAAACAGAGGGAGACGCAUGGGCAAUACCUUAUAAUUGAACCUUAGGAUAGCAGGUCUCCGUUGUGACUGUAGUGAGAAGGUCUCCGCUUGCUUGCCUACUACAGCUAUAGCUUGAACAGAAGUCACCAGGCACAGACCAAGUGUUUCCCUCCUUAAAAAAAAAAAGGAAAAUAAAGCAUAGUUUAAUGGAAAACAAUAUCUUGUCUUUACAAGUGAUAGUCAAUUCCAUUAGUCUGCUGAUCUAUCUACUAUG